CCUACGGGGGGCAGCAGUGAGGAAUAUUGGUCAAUGGGCGGAAGCCUGAACCAGCCAAGUAGCGUGCAGGAUGACGGCCCUACGGGUUGUAAACUGCUUUUAUACGGGAAUAACGCGCCUUACGUGUAGGGCUUUGCAUGUACCGUAUGAAUAAGGAUCGGCUAAUUCCGUGCCAGCAGCCGCGGUAAUACGGAGGGUCCGGGCGUUAUCCGGAUUUAUUGGGUUUAAAGGGAGCGUAGGCCGGAUGUUAAGUGAGCUGUGAAAUGUUCGGGCUCAACCCGGGCCUUGCAGUGCGUACUGGCGUGCUUGAGUCCGCUGAAGGCAGGCGGAAUUCGUGGUGUAGCGGUGAAAUGCUUAGAUAUGACGAAGAACCCCGAUUGCGAAGGCAGCUUGCUGCAGCGGAACUGACGCUGAUGCUCGAAAGCGCGGGUAUCGAACAGGAUUAGAUACCCUGGUAGUC
rnacentral:rRNA from 1 species